UGAUUUUGUCAGUCUGAGAUCAGUCAUUCUGGAACAAAUAACUAGAGAAAGAUCAGAAGUAGGCAGAAAGACAGACAGAGAGAGAGAGGGGAAGCAGCCUCUCCACCGAGCAGAGAGCCCGACGUGGGACUUGAUCCCAGGACCCUGAGAUCAUGACCUGAGCCGAAGGCAGAGGCUCAAC
rnacentral:lncRNA from 1 species